rnacentral:lncRNA from 1 species
UGAAGUCAAAGAGGCUUAAAAGUUCAAAACCCAAAAGAAACUUCCAUAUUAUAUAACUACUUGAACCCAUCAUCACAUCAAUAUAUAACAAAAAGAAAAGGCUAAAGGCUAAAGGAUAAAGGAUAAAGGGCAGGACAAAGUCCAAGAAAAUCAAACACAAUCAUCAAACACACCAUUGCUCUUCUGGUUGUUGGUUGUGGUGAUAUUUUCUGCAGAGCUAAUAAGUUGGGUAUGCUUUUUAGAAGAGCCCUUAGAAAGCAUAACUGGGU